GGGGAGGGGCGGUUCACCAUGGAAACCCAAGGACGGCCAAUGUCACUCCAAUAGUCCCCGGAAAGAGCGUGUGAAAGCCGUUAGCGUUUGGCUGGAGAGCCGAGAUCUGAUGCUGCCAGAUCUACUGAGCUUUUCCAGCAACUUCUGUUUUUGUUCCUGAUUUCUAUUAAAUCAGUUUUGGAGACCUA